rnacentral:rRNA from 1 species
UACGUAGGGUGCGAGCGUUAAUCGGAAUUACUGGGCGUAAAGCGUGCGCAGGCGGUCUGUUAAGACCGAUGUGAAAUCCCCGGGCUUAACCUGGGAACUGCAUUUGUGACUGCACGGCUAGAGUGUGUCAGAGGGGGGGUAGAAUUCCACGUGUAGCAGUGAAAUGCGUAGAUAUGCGGAGGAACACCGAUGGCGAAGGCAAUCCCCCUGGGCCUGCACUGACGCUCAUGCACGAAAGCGUGGGGAGCAAACAGG